UGAAUGUGUGAGUGGAAAAGUAGGAGGAUAUGGGGAGGUAUGACUUGCAGGGAGUGUCAGGCUGAACUGUAUAUAAUCUCAGCUUCACCUUUCCAUGCUUACCCCACAGACUCACCUAAGGAACACUCUUCUCCAAACAGGUAGGAAAGCAAAGACCAGCAGCACCAAUCCCUACGGCAUCGUAGAGGGAGAGGACAGGGGAGAAUUUGCAGCGUAUUCAUUCUAUUGUGUGUCCUAUUGACACGUGUGUAUUUGCUUGACCAACUGCAGUUGUGUUAAGAGAGUUCGCUGUUCUGGGACUACAGGACCAUGUUCAUUAAAUGCAUUAUAUGUUUAAAAUGUGGUAUAAAAAACUUUUACAAUGCACUUUGCAAUUUUAAUUAUGACUGAAAUUAUUUUUUCAAUGUACAAAAGCAGUUGAUUCGAAUGAAGCGCUGUGAUAUUUGUUCUCUGUGAGAGACUGAACUGCUUGCUCUCAGUGAAUGAAAACGAGGGUCUUUAUGAUAUUUAGCUGUUUGCGGUCAGCGGUAUAAGUGUACUGUGUGAGUGAUGUAUGCAUGCCUUAUUUGUGAGUAAAGAAAUAUUUAUGUCUUAUGCAAAGUACUGUGUGCUGUCUGUGAGUGACAUAUGUGAUGUCUGCCCUCGAGCGAUAACUGCAUUCUGUGAGUGAUCGGAUUGCAUUGUUCUCUAUGUGCGAUUGAUGCACCUGCUCUCUGCGAGCGAUUGUCGUAUGUCCCAUGUGUGUGACUGACAAAUUUACUCUCGGUGAGCGAUUAACAGGUCUACUCCCCGUGAGUUCCGGAAAUGCGUGUUCUUGAGUCAGCAACUAACGUUUCUGCGCUCGGUGUCUGUGCUCUCGUCAAGUCUCCCAGUCUCUUUCAGGAUGGCAAGUGACCUUAAACCCGGUGAGAUGGCCUUGGGAUCAAUCGUGAGCAUAUUCCACAAGUACGCUUCAGGAGACGGGGAUGCACAAACGCUCAGCAAAUCAGAGUUCGAUAAACUCGUCAAGGAGCAGUUCCCCAACUUAAUUCCUGAUAAAUAUGCGGCCCAACUGAAAGAAGCAGUGCACAAGAUUGCCGGCGAUACCAUUGACUUCGACGAGUUCAUGAAUCUAAUGUCCGUGCUUAGCUCAAUGUCCCACGCCACGUUGCUGAAAUCCGUAGCAGGGAAAAAGGCUGGAAAAUAAAGCUUCUCUCUGAUUGGCUGCCAAUUUAAAGGACUGAUGCUGUUCCAACAGGGGUGCCUGAACUCAAACCUGAUUAUAAAUCUGACUGAAACACAAAUCAAUGUUGUUUCCCAAUAAACAUUUUACUGUUUAAAAUCC